rnacentral:rRNA from 1 species
GAUGAAUGUUGGCGGCGUGCCUAACACAUGCAAGUCGAGCGGUAACAGGUCUAGUUUACUAGAUGCUGACGAGCGGCGGACGGCUGAGUAACGCGUGGGAACGUGCCCCAAAGUGAGGAAUAACUGCCCGAAAGGGUGGCUAAUGCCGCAUAUGAUCUUCGGAUUAAAGGAUUUAUCCGCUUUGGGAGCGGCCCGCGUUAGAUUAGGUAGUUGGUAGGGUAAUGGCCUACCAAGCCGACGAUCUAUAGCUGGUCUGAGAGGAUGACCAGCCAGACUGGGCCUGAGACACGGCCCAGACUCCUACGGGAGGCAGCAGUGAGGAAUCUUCCACAAUGGGCGAAAGCCUGAUGGAGCAACGCCGCGUGAAGGAUGAAGGCCCUCGGGUUGUAAACUUCUUUUAUAAGUGAAGAAUAUGACGGUAACUUAUGAAUAAGCACCGGCUAACUACGUGCCAGCCGCCGCCGUAA